ensembl:lncRNA
UAUACAUAUAAACACAACAAAGCAAUCCUUUGAUUUCUGAUUUAAAUAGCACAUGUAGCCUACUCUUCUGAAACAUUUAGGUGUCAAAAUAAUGUAAUAUAUAAAUUUUUAAAAACAUAGGCCUAAUUAAAGUACCAUAAUGUGACCAUAUAAAAUCUUACAUGGAUUUAUUUAUUUAUUUGAGUGGUAUUUUUCACUGGAGCAUUGACAGAAACAGCAGUUUAUAUCUGUAUUAGAUCUAUAAAUUAAAUAUAGAUAAUUAAAUAAAGUUAAAUACAUUAAAAUAUAUUAAAGUUGAAUAUAUUUAAAUAGAUAAUUAGAUUGAAAUAAUAUUAUAUUCUAUUAAAUAAUUAAAUAAUAAAUAUUUAACACAUAGAUUUAAAUUAAAUGAAAUAGUGUAUUUUAACGUGCGCUGGCCACGAGGGGCGUUAACGUGAUGUUACGUGAGUGACGUAAACGUGAUGGCAAAAAAAAAAAAAAAAAAAAAAAAAACGUAAACGUAACGUGAUGGCGCAAAUAACCACGAAGACGGAAGAAUAAUUCUGUUUAUUACAAAAGACUGAAGAUAUAACUGCCGCCAUCCUUUAAUUUAUUUAUUUCUACGUUGAGGACACUUUAUAAACCUACAGAGAUACCGGACCAACGAACGACCUUCACAACGGGACGGAGCUAACGUAAUUAACGUUAACGGUUACUUGGAAAUUCAAACAGUAACGGUCAUCUGACAACUGCGCUGAGCCAAAGGUAAGAAUGAAUGUGCUUUUAUUCAUCGUUUUAUCAAUCUAAUGUUAAAUUUCACUUCAGUUUAAUAUUUCAAAUUAUUUAUUUGGAUUAUAAAGAUUAUAUAUUUUCAAAUUCCUCUUUUUGUAAUUGUACAUAACGUUAUCCCUGUUGGUUAAUUUGAGGUGGUCCAAGUUACAGUCUGAGGUAAAAUUUUGAUGAUCCUUUUUAACUAAGUUAUAAAAAUUAGUCACUAAAACAGGUAACUGUAAUUUUUCUUGAUCAAAUAAAGAAACGAUUUUAGAACUUAUAUUUUUUCUACUUUUCAGGACGGGAACAGCAACAAGAGUUUAACUUCUGAUUCGUAAUCUACACACUCUACUGGGCAGUUCAUGAAGACAGAUGUUGUGACGACCAGGACAGUUCCUCCUACCACACCAGACUUUGCUGUAUAUGGAUGCCUGACCACUAGCACUGGACAUUUACAACAUUUUGGCGCCAGGGAUCCCUUGCAGAGAAGAUUUUUCAAAGACACCCUCAGAAUUACAACAGAUUUUAAGGCUUAAAAUUAUUGUGGGUGGGAGUAUAAUGAACAUAAUAUGAUUGUUUUAUUUUAUUAUUAUUAUUUAUUUUUAAAUAGUUCCCAUUUUUUAAUAAUACAUUUGUUUAAUAAUACAGCACAAUAUAGGGCUAAGUUGCACCAGGUCAGGAAAAAACACAUAAGUUGCAUCCGUGUAUAAGACACAUUUUACUAUUAAUUUCAGAAAUAAUUUAAAUACUGAUAAAUAAAACAAACGUUAAGAAACUUAAAAACUAUGAACACUGUAAAGAUUUUAUUUCCCCCCACUUCAAAUCAUUUAAAUUGAAUACUAUUCAAAACAGAAUAAAAAUAAAAAUAUUUAGGCCUAUGUAUAAAAUAAAAUAAAUUCUAGUGCCAUUAUUUACAAGCAGUAUAUCUUUUGUUAAUUAAAAUGCACUUGCUAUCUCAGUUUCUGUGAACCUCAUUCUGAAAUGUAGAAAACACAGUGGUACAGACAAUACCACUGUGCACAGACAGGCUUGUCACACAGACAUGAGAAAUAUACUUAUAGAAACCUGUAAGUGCCCGCUUUUAUGUGUUUACGUUUUGCUUAGAAUAAUUCAGCACAUCUCAGAAGAUUAAAAAAAAAGACCAGUAGUCUGGAAAAUAUGGUAUAAAUUAUUUUGUUGACCCCUUUGCUUUGGUCCUGAACCCCAGAUUGAAAACCCUUUUUUAUUAUUAUUAUUGUGCAUGCAGAUAAUAUUUGGACACAUGAACACUUGACUAUUGCGUGAAUAAAGAAUACCAUCUUUAAGAAUUUUAUGCUAAUUGCAGUUUAAAUAAAAAUGAAAAAGCUUAAAAAGUUAAACUCCAAUAGGUGAACAUAAUGUGUGGACCCAACUAAACUAAAUUGUUUGUUGUUAAUUGUUAUCCACUGUAUAAUGAGUGACAUUUCUUUUAUUUCAUGGUUUUUGUGUGAACACACUGUUUCUUUAAGUUUAUUUACAAGUACAAAAAGAAAUUGCAUUGAAAUAAACAUGAUAUUUAAUUGAAUGCAGCCUAAGAGUGUUUAUUUUGUUCAGAAACAGUAUAAAUGACGCCUAA